rnacentral:rRNA from 1 species
AUGUUGCCAACACGUGAUGGUGGGGACUCAUAGGAGGCUGCCGGGGUCAACUCGGAGGAAGGUGGGGAAGACGUCAAAUCAUCAUGCCCCUUACGUGUUGGGCUUCACGCAUGCUACAAUGGCCGGUACAGAGGGCUGCGAAACCGUGAGGUGGAGCGAAUCCCUUAAAGCCGGUCUCAGUUCGGAUUGGGGUCUGCAACUCGACCCCAUGAAGUCGGAGUCGCUAGUAAUCGCAGAUCAGCAACGCUGCGGUGAAUACGUUCCCGGGCCUUGUACACACCGCCCGUCAAGUCACGAAAGUCGGUAACACCCGAAGCCGUUGCAACCCGGGGGAGCCGUCGAAGG